rnacentral:rRNA from 1 species
GACGAACGCUGGCGGCGUGCCUAACACAUGCAAGUCGAACGCUGAAGCUCAGCUUUUGUUGGGUGGAUGAGUGGCGAACGGGUGAGUAACACGUGAGUAACCUGCCUCCUUCUUUGGGAUAACGCCCGGAAACGGGUGCUAAUACUGGAUAUUCACUGGUCUUCGCAUGGGGGUUGGUGGAAAGGGUUUUUCUGGUGGGGGAUGGGCUCGCGGCCUAUCAGCUUGUUGGUGGGGUGAUGGCCUACCAAGGCUUUGACGGGUAGCCGGCCUGAGAGGGUGACCGGUCACAUUGGGACUGAGAUACGGCCCAGACUCCUACGGGAGGCAGCAGUGGGGAAUAUUGCACAAUGGGCGCAAGCCUGAUGCAGCGACGCCGCGUGAGGGAUGGAGGCCUUCGGGUUGUGAACCUCUUUCGCUCAUGGUCAAGCCGCAACAAUGGUUGUGGUGAGGGUAGUGGGUAAAGAAGCGCCGGCUAACUACGUG